CCUACGGGAGGCUGCAGUGGGGAAUAUUGGACAAUGGGGGGAACCCUGAUCCAGCCAUGCCGCGUGUGUGAAGAAGGCCCUCGGGUUGUAAAGCACUUUCAGUGAGGAAGAACGCCUGGUGGUUAAUACCCAUCAGGAAGACAUCACUCACAGAAGAAGCACCGGCUAACUCCGUGCCAGCAGCCGCGGUAAUACGGAGGGUGCGAGCGUUAAUCGGAAUUACUGGGCGUAAAGCGCGCGUAGGUGGCUUGAUAAGCCGGUUGUGAAAGCCCCGGGCUCAACCUGGGAACGGCAUCCGGAACUGUCAAGCUAGAGUGCAGGAGAGGAAGGUAGAAUUCCCGGUGUAGCGGUGAAAUGCGUAGAGAUCGGGAGGAAUACCAGUGGCGAAGGCGGCCUUCUGGACUGACACUGACACUGAGGUGCGAAAGCGUGGGUAGCAAACAGGAUUAGAUACCCCGGUAGUC
rnacentral:rRNA from 1 species